rnacentral:rRNA from 1 species
AGCCCGCUCGCCGGAAGACCAAGGGUUCCUGUCCAACGUUAAUCGGGGCAGGGUGAGUCGACCCCUAAGGCGAGGCCGAAAGGCGUAGUCGAUGGGAAACAGGUUAAUAUUCCUGUACUUGGUGUUACUGCGAAGGGGGGACGGAGAAGGCUAUGUUGGCCGGGCGACGGUUGUCCCGGUUUAAGCGUGUAGGCUGGUUUUCCAGGCAAAUCCGGAAAACCAAGGCUGAGGCGUGAUGACGAGGCACUACGGUGCUGAAGCGACAAAUGCCCUGCUUCCAGGAAAAGCCUCUAAGCAUCAGGUAACAUCAAAUCGUACCCCAAACCGACACAGGUGGUCAGGUAGAGAAUACCAAGGCGCUUGAGAGAACUCGGGUGAAGGAACUAGGCAAAAUGGUGCCGUAACUUCGGGAGAAGGCACGCUGAUAUGUAGGUGAAGCGACUUGCUCGUGGAGCUGAAAUCAGUCGAAGAUACCAGCUGGCUGCAACUGUUUAUUAAAAACACAGCACUGUGCAAACACGAAAGUGGACGUAUACGGUGUGACGCCUGCCCGGUGCCGGAAGGUUAAUUGAUGGGGUUAGCGGCAACGCGAAGCUCUUGAUCGAAGCCCCGGUAAACGGCGGCCGUAACUAUAACGGUCCUAAGGUAGCGAAAUUCCUUGUCGGGUAAGUUCCGACCUGCACGAAUGGCGUAAUGAUGGCCAGGCUGUCUCCACCCGAGACUCAGUGAAAUUGAACUCGCUGUGAAGAUGCAGUGUACCCGCGGCAAGACGGAAAGACCCCGUGAACCUUUACUAUAGCUUGACACUGAACAUUGAGCCUUGAUGUGUAGGAUAGGUGGGAGGCUUUGAAGUGUGGACGCCAGUCUGCAUGGAGCCGACCUUGAAAUACCACCCUUUAAUGUUUGAUGUUCUAACGUUGGCCCGUAAUCCGGGUUGCGGACAGUGUCUGGUGGGUAGUUUGACUGGGGCGGUCUCCUCCUAAAGAGUAACGGAGGAGCACGAAGGUUGGCUAAUCCUGGUCGGACAUCAGGAGGUUAGUGCAAUGGCAUAAGCCAGCUUGACUGCGAGCGUGACGGCGCGAGCAGGUGCGAAAGCAGGUCAUAGUGAUCCGGUGGUUCUGAAUGGAAGGGCCAUCGCUCAACGGAUAAAAGGUACUCCGGGGAUAACAGGCUGAUACCGCCCAAGAGUUCAUAUCGACGGCGGUGUUUGGCACCUCGAUGUCGGCUCAUCACAUCCUGGGGCUGAAGUAGGUCCCAAGGGUAUGGCUGUUCGCCAUUUAAAGUGGUACGCGAGCUGGGUUUAGAACGUCGUGAGACAGUUCGGUCCCUAUCUGCCGUGGGCGCUGGAGAACUGAGGGGGGCUGCUCCUAGUACGAGAGGACCGGAGUGGACGCAUCACUGGUGUUCGGGUUGUCAUGCCAAUGGCACUGCCCGGUAGCUAAAUGCGGAAGAGAUAAGUGCUGAAAGCAUCUAAGCACGAAACUUGCCCCGAGAUGAGUUCUCCCUGACUCCUUGAGAGUCCUGAAGGAACGUUGAAGACGACGACGUUGAUAGGCCGGGUGUGUAAGCGCAGCGAUGCGUUGAGCUAACCGGUACUAAUGAACCGUGAGGCUUAACC